GGGUUGUGAGGUUAAGCGACUAAGCGUACACGGUGGAUGCCCUGGCAGUCAGAGGCGAUGAAGGGCGUGCUAAUCUGCGAUAAGCGCCGGUAAGGUGAUAUGAACCGUUAUAACCGGCGAUACCCGAAUGGGGAAACCCAGUGUGACUCGUCACACUAUCAUUAACUGAAUCCAUAGGUUAAUGAGGCGAACCGGGGGAACUGAAACAUCUAAGUACCCCGAGGAAAAGAAAUCAACCGAGAUUCCCCCAGUAGCGGCGAGCGAACGGGGAGGAGCCCAGAGCCUGAAUCAGCAUGUGUGUUAGUGGAAGCGUCUGGAAAGGCGCGCGAUACAGGGUGACAGCCCCGUACACAAAAGCGCAUGUGCUGUGAGCUCGAUGAGUAGGGCGGGACACGUGGUAUCCUGUCUGAAUAUGGGGGGACCAUCCUCCAAGGCUAAAUACUCCUGACUGACCGAUAGUGAACCAGUACCGUGAGGGAAAGGCGAAAAGAACCCCGGCGAGGGGAGUGAAAAAGAACCUGAAACCGUGUACGUACAAGCAGUGGGAGCACNNNNNNNNNNNNNNNACUGCGUACCUUUUGUAUAAUGGGUCAGCGACUUAUAUUCUGUAGCAAGGUUAACCGAAUAGGGGAGCCGGAGGGAAACCGAGUCUUAAUUGGGCGUUAAGUUGCAGGGUAUAGACCCGAAACCCGGUGAUCUAGCCAUGGGCAGGUUGAAGGUUGGGUAACACUAACUGGAGGACCGAACCGACUAAUGUUGAAAAAUUAGCGGAUGACCUGUGGCUGGGGGUGAAAGGCCAAUCAAACCGGGAGAUAGCUGGUUCUCCCCGAAAGCUAUUUAGGUAGCGCCUCGUGAAUUCAUCUCCGGGGGUAGAGCACUGUUUCGGCUAGGGGGCCAUCCCGGCUUACCAACCCGAUGCAAACUGCGAAUACCGGAGAAUGUUAUCACGGGAGACACACGGCGGGUGCUAACGUCCGUCGUGAAGAGGGAAACAACCCAGACCGCCAGCUAAGGUCCCAAAGUCAUGGUUAAGUGGGAAACGAUGUGGGAAGGCCCAGACAGCCAGGAUGUUGGCUUAGAAGCAGCCAUCAUUUAAAGAAAGCGUAAUAGCUCACUGGUCGAGUCGGCCUGCGCGGAAGAUGUAACGGGGCUAAACCAUGCACCGAAGCUGCGGCAGCGACACUGUGUGUUGUUGGGUAGGGGAGCGUUCUGUAAGCCUGCGAAGGUGGCCUGUGAGGGUUGCUGGAGGUAUCAGAAGUGCGAAUGCUGACAUAAGUAACGAUAAAGCGGGUGAAAAGCCCGCUCGCCGGAAGACCAAGGGUUCCUGUCCAACGUUAAUCGGGGCAGGGUGAGUCGACCCCUAAGGCGAGGCCGAAAGGCGUAGUCGAUGGGAAACGGGUUAAUAUUCCCGUACUUGGUGUUACUGCGAAGGGGGGACGGAGAAGGCUAUGUUGGCCGGGCGACGGUUGUCCCGGUUUAAGCGUGUAGGUGUGUGUUCCAGGUAAAUCCGGUUCACUUUAACACUGAGGCGUGACGACGAGGCACUACGGUGCUGAAGCAACAAAUGCCCUGCUUCCAGGAAAAGCCUCUAAGCAUCAGGUAACAUCAAAUCGUACCCCAAACCGACACAGGUGGUCAGGUAGAGAAUACCAAGGCGCUUGAGAGAACUCGGGUGAAGGAACUAGGCAAAAUGGUGCCGUAACUUCGGGAGAAGGCACGCUGACACGUAGGUGAAGUGAUUUACUCAUGGAGCUGAAGUCAGUCGAAGAUACCAGCUGGCUGCAACUGUUUAUUAAAAACACAGCACUGUGCAAACACGAAAGUGGACGUAUACGGUGUGACGCCUGCCCGGUGCCGGAAGGUUAAUUGAUGGGGUCAGCGCAAGCGAAGCUCCUGAUCGAAGCCCCGGUAAACGGCGGCCGUAACUAUAACGGUCCUAAGGUAGCGAAAUUCCUUGUCGGGUAAGUUCCGACCUGCACGAAUGGCGUAAUGAUGGCCAGGCUGUCUCCACCCGAGACUCAGUGAAAUUGAACUCGCUGUGAAGAUGCAGUGUACCCGCGGCAAGACGGAAAGACCCCGUGAACCUUUACUAUAGCUUGACACUGAACAUUGAGCCUUGAUGUGUAGGAUAGGUGGGAGGCUUUGAAGUGUGGACGCCAGUCUGCAUGGAGCCGACCUUGAAAUACCACCCUUUAAUGUUUGAUGUUCUAACGUGGACCCGUUACCCGGGUUGCGGACAGUGUCUGGUGGGUAGUUUGACUGGGGCGGUCUCCUCCUAAAGAGUAACGGAGGAGCACGAAGGUUGGCUAAUCCUGGUCGGACAUCAGGAGGUUAGUGCAAUGGCAUAAGCCAGCUUGACUGCGAGCGUGACGGCGCGAGCAGGUGCGAAAGCAGGUCAUAGUGAUCCGGUGGUUCUGAAUGGAAGGGCCAUCGCUCAACGGAUAAAAGGUACUCCGGGGAUAACAGGCUGAUACCGCCCAAGAGUUCAUAUCGACGGCGGUGUUUGGCACCUCGAUGUCGGCUCAUCACAUCCUGGGGCUGAAGUAGGUCCCAAGGGUAUGGCUGUUCGCCAUUUAAAGUGGUACGCGAGCUGGGUUUAGAACGUCGUGAGACAGUUCGGUCCCUAUCUGCCGUGGGCGCUGGAGAACUGAGGGGGGCUGCUCCUAGUACGAGAGGACCGGAGUGGACGCAUCACUGGUGUUCGGGUUGUCAUGCCAAUGGCACUGCCCGGUAGCUAAAUGCGGAAGAGAUAAGUGCUGAAAGCAUCUAAGCACGAAACUUGCCCCGAGAUGAGUUCUCCCUGAGACUUAAAGUCUCCUGAAGGAACGUUGAAGACGACGACGUUGAUAGGCCGGGUGUGUAAGCGCAGCGAUGCGUUGAGCUAACCGGUACUAAUGAACCGUGAGGCUUAACCUUACAACGCCGAAG
rnacentral:rRNA from 2 species